CAGGGAUUCAGGUGUAGUGUUGGCUGAGUCUCUGAAGAUAAUGUUGUGUGACGACAGACAUCAAGACAUGCAAAAAGCAGCCGCGUUUGUGAAACGUUUAGCCACAUUCGCGCUUUGCUUUGGAUGUGCCGAGUCUAUGUCUGCGCUUGUCACCUUGAAAAUUCUACUUCAGAAGAAUGUGAAAUGCAGAAACCUUCUUGAGAACGAUGCUGGAGGCGGCUCGGUUUCUGGUUCAAUCGC